rnacentral:lncRNA from 1 species
GUGAAAAAACCUCGUCUGUUCUUUGUGCCACCCUUUUGCCACUACAGCCCAGCCUUCCAGGCCUGCUGCAAAGGUCAGCCCUGACUUGGCAGAGGAAGAGCAAGGGUCAGAAAACCGGGAUGGGGAAGGACUUAUUGAAGAACACGUGCAACCUGAUGAACCAGCUCCUCUGCAAAGUGGUGAGAGAAGGCUGAGGGCAUGGGACCAUGGUACGCUAUGAAUUCUUCCUCCACCGCAGAAGGAUUGGGAUGCAGAAUUCAUCCUGGGAAGGAAAGUCUGGAAAACCGCUUUAGUGUUUUGUGGACCAUUAAAAAAAAAAAAAAAAAGGAAAAAAGGUACAGUACAGAGCAGCUGAUCGAUC